GAUUUGGGUAUGGAUUAACGAGUUAAUUUGAUAGGUUAACUUAGGUUUAUUACCCCAUAUGA
rnacentral:tRNA from 1 species